GAGUUUGAUCGUGGCUCAGGACGAACGCUGGCGGCGUGCUUCAUACAUGCAAGUCGAGCGGGAUCCAUCCAGUGGCAACACUGGUGAAGAUCUAGCGGCGAACGGGUGAGUAACACGUGAGGAACCUGCCCCAGAGACCGGGAUAACCCUCCGAAAGGAGAGCUAAUACCGGAUACCCCCACCGGAUCGCAUGGUCUGGUGAGGAAAUGGAUUCCGCUCUGGGAGGGCCUCGCGGCCUAUCAGCUUGUUGGUGAGGUAAUGGCUCACCAAGGCUUCGACGGGUAGCUGGUCUGAGAGGACGGUCAGCCACACUGGGACUGAGACACGGCCCAGACUCCUACGGGAGGCAGCAGUAGGGAAUCUUGCGCAAUGGGCGAAAGCCUGACGCAGCAACGCCGCGUGGGGGAUGAAGGCUUUCGGUUGUAAACCCUUUCAGCAGGACGAUCGUGACGGUACCUGCAGAAGAAGGACCGGCCAACUACGUGCCAGCCGCCGCCGUAAU
rnacentral:rRNA from 1 species